rnacentral:rRNA from 1 species
AACGAACGCUGGCGGCAUGCCUAACACAUGCAAGUCGAACGAGACCUUCGGGUCUAGUGGCGCACGGGUGCGUAACGCGUGGGAAUCUGCCCUUGGGUUCGGAAUAACAGUUGGAAACGACUGCUAAUACCGGAUGAUGACGUAAGUCCAAAGAUUUAUCGCCCAAGGAUGAGCCCGCGUAGGAUUAGCUAGUUGGUGAGGUAAAGGCUCACCAAGGCGACGAUCCUUAGCUGGUCUGAGAGGAUGAUCAGCCACACUGGGACUGAGACACGGCCCAGACUCCUACGGGAGGCAGCAGUGGGGAAUAUUGGACAAUGGGCGAAAGCCUGAUCCAGCAAUGCCGCGUGAGUAAUGAAGGCCUUAGGGUUGUAAAGCUCUUUUACCCGGGAUGAUAAUGACAGUACCGGGAGAAUAAGCUCCGGCUAACUCCGUG